CCUACGGGUGGCUGCAGUCGAGAAUCUUCGGCAAUGGGGGAAACCCUGACCGAGCGACGCCGCGUGUGGGAUGAAGGCCCUUGGGUUGUAAACCACUGUCAGAGGGGAUGAAGUGCUAGAAAGCUAUCUUUCUAGUUUGACAUAGCCUCAGAGGAAGCACGGGCUAAGUUCGUGCCAGCAGCCGCGGUAAGACGAACUGUGGAAACGUUAUUCGGAAUCACUGGGCUUGAAGAGUGCGUAAGCGGUUUCUGAAAGCCCUCGGCUCAACCGGGGAAUUGCGGCCUAAACUGCGAGGCUAGAGUGAGGUAGGGGUGUGUGGAACUUCCAGUGGAGCGGUGAAAUGUGUUGAUAUUGGAAGGAACGCCGGUGGCGAAAGCGACACACUGGACCUUGUCUGACGCUGAGGCACGAAAGCCAGGGGAGCAAACGGGAUUAGAUACCCCAGUAGUC
rnacentral:rRNA from 1 species